rnacentral:rRNA from 1 species
GACGAACGCUGGCGGCGUGCUUAACACAUGCAAGUCGAACGGUAAGGCCCUUUCGGGGGUUCACUAGUGUCGGACGGGUGCGUAACACGUGAGUAACCUGCCCACAACUUUGGGAUAAGGCUAAGAAACUGGUGCUAAUACUGGUUAUGUGCUCUUGUUUCAUGGUGGGGGUUGGAAAGUUCCGGCGGUUGUGGAUGGCCUGGCGGCCUAUCAGCUUGCUGGUGGGGUAGUGGCCUACCAAGGCGGCGACGGGAAGCCGGCCUGAGAGGGUGACCGGCCACACUGGGACUGAGGGACGGCCCAGACUCCGAAGGGUGGCAGCAGGGGGGAAGACUGCACGAUGGGCGCAAGCCGGAUGCAGCAACGCCGCGGGCGGGAUGACGGCCUUCGGGUUGUAAACCGUUUGCGGCAGGGACGAAGCUUUUUGUGACGGUACCUGCAGAAGAAGCACCGGCUAACUACGUG